GAUGAACGCUGGCGGCGUGCCUAAUACAUGCAAGUCGAGCGAAUGGAUUAAGAGCUUGCUCUUAUGAAGUUAGCGGCGGACGGGUGAGUAACACGUGGGUAACCUGCCCAUAAGACUGGGAUAACUCCGGGAAACCGGGGCUAAUACCGGAUAACAUUUUGAACCGCAUGGUUCGAAAUUGAAAGGCGGCUUCGGCUGUCACUUAUGGAUGGACCGGCGUCGCAUUAGCUAGUUGGUGAGGUAACGGCUCACCAAGGCAACGAUGCGUAGCCGACCUGAGAGGGUGAACGGCCACACUGGGACUGAGACACGGCCCAGACUCCUACGGGAGGCAGCAGUAGGGAAUCUUCCGCAAUGGACGAAAGUCUGACGGAGCAACGCCGCGUGAGUGAUGAAGGCUUGCGGGUCGUAAAACUCUGUUGUUAGGGAAGAACAAGUGCUAGUUGAAUAAGCUGACACCUUGACGGUACCUAACCAGAAAGCCACGGCUAACUACGUGCCAGCAGCCGCGGUAA
rnacentral:rRNA from 1 species